CCCGUGGGCCGGUCCGUGCGUCGGCCGUGCCUGUGCAUUGUUUUGCUCCAUCCCCGUUGCUGCUGCUGGGCCAACACCUGCACACCUGCUCCAUCACCACGCGUCGGCAGUCGGUCGGAUGCGUCGGCUCUACGCGGUGCGGAGCGGAGCGGAGAUCUACAUGUCGUCCUUGACUGCGGAAAGAAUCCAUCCGCCCCGCCUGGUCUGCCUCCCCUCGCAGUCGUCGCCCCUCACGCUCGCCUUCUGCGUCAUCGUCAGCGAGUCCUCGAGCCGACGCUGCCGCCAAGCCUCACGGCCGUCCUCCUUCGCCAUGUACUGAACGAGACCACGCCGAGCAGCCCGAGCUCCUGCACCGCCGUCUCCGGUUAUCACACGUUAUGUUCCGGCCGACGUUCACUGCCUUCUUGGUCUCUCGGCUCGGAGAGCUCCGCCUACAGUUCCACAAGCGCCAGCUCCAAAUCCGGCUGCCCCCAUCAUUUCUGUUGCUUUGGUUAUUCUGUGACUGGUGGCUGCCUGCGUCAACCAUGCAGAGCCCUGUCGUGGUUGUAUUUGCCAUCAUCACCACAGAGUGGGGCGAAGCUAGAGCUGAAUGGAGGGGGGUGCACUGUCCAUGGAUUUGCUGCUUGUCCUAUUAUUUCUAUGGUGAAAAUUUGUUGAUUA